CCCUCCUACCUCUCUUCUCCGUCCACGUGUGAGCAGGCCCCACGCCUGGCCGCGGGGGUGCCCUCUUUAGCAGGACGGAAGAGGCCUCACGACCGCCAGGGGCGUCCUACCUUCCACACGCUUUGUUUCCUGUGGCAUCUGUUUUUCUUUUCUUUUCUUUUUUUCUUUUUUUUUUUCUUUUUGACCCGGAGUCUCGGUCUGUCGCCAGGCUGCAGUUUAGUGGGGCGACCUCGGCUCACUGCAACCUCCGCCUUCCGGAUUCAAGCGAUUCUCCUGCCUCAGACUCCCGAGUAGCUGGGACUACAGGUGCUCACCACCACGCCUGUAUUUUUGUAUUUUUAGUAGAGACGGGUUUCACCGUGUUGGCCAGGAUUGUCUCGAUCUCCUAACCUCGUGAUUUGCCCGCCUGGGCCUCCCAAAGUGCUGGGACUACAAGCAUGAGCCACCACGCCCUGCCAGGCGUUUGUUUUCUAAGAAGCCUUGCACGCCCACACCCUCAGGAAGCAAUGUUCUUUCUUUCUGAGAAACAAGCUUUUCGUGUCUUCAGUUGUGUACCAUGUUGUCUACAUGAACAACGCCUUGUUCAAUAUUAGUUUGUCAAUCGAAUUGAUUGGUAAGAGCAUGCUCCUUUAAAUGAUGCAGAAGAGGGGAAGGGAAGUGCUGGAUAGAGGAGCGUAUGUGUCCUGGAUAAGGCUCCACUCCCACGUAAGUAGGUGAGCACAGGCACUUCUGUCUUCCCGCCCAAAUGUUGCAUUUUGCAAGACCACCCUGGCCUGCCACGCCCCCAUCCUGGACCUAUAAAUAUCGGAGAAACUAGCAAGGAGGAGGCAGAAGGAGCUGGACCUUAUGAGAAACACAUCAGCAGAAAAAGACAUCAGCGGCUAUCGCCCAGACCGCACUGGCAGAAGAGCACGCCGACAGGCACUGGCAGGCCGGCAGCCACGGACAAGCAGAACAAUGCAGAAUUUGGCUGGGGCAGUGGGAGGAGAGCCCAGGACCCCUACCUGCCUGACUACAGGAGAAAACCGUUUCCUUUCUGGCUCCCCGAUCCGCUGAGAGCUACCUCCACGCAAUAAAACGUUGCACUCAUUCUCCAAGCCCCCAUGUGACCCAAUUCUUCUAAUACACCAAGGCAAGAAACUCCGGGAUACAGAAAGUACUCUGUCAUUACGACAAGGUACAGGAUCUAAUUGAGCUGACUACACGCCGCCUGUAGAAGGCAAACUAAAAGAGCACCCUAUAACACACACCCACUGGGGCUUCAGGAGCUGUAAACAUUCACCCCCAAACACUGCCAGCGGGUCAGAGCCCCACAGCCUGCCCAUCUGUAUGCUCCCCUAGAGGUUUGAGCAGAACAAUGGGGUACUGAAGAAGUGGGCCACACCCCCAGCACAUGCCCUGCAAUAGGGAAAUGGGAACCUUUCCUGUUUCACUAUUUCACAACCCUUUUUUUUUUUUUUUUUUUGAGACGGAGUCUCGCCUGUCACGUCCCUAGAAGAGCCAUUUCUAACCUACUUCCCAUCUCAAUAAGACUCCCUUAUUGUACUUUCUCAUAUCAUCUUGUGUAAUUUUUAUUGUGGUAAAAUACACAUAAAAUUUGCUAUUUUAAACCAUUCUAAAAUGUAUCAUUCAGUAGCUUAAGUUAACUUCAAACUGUUGUACAGCCAUCACUAGUCUAUCUCCAGAACGUUUUGUUUCCAUUUAAAACUAUGUACUCAUGUAUACAGUAACUCCUCAUUCCUUCUUACCCACCUCAACCUUUGAUAAUCAUGUUUCUAUAAAUUUUACUACUCUAAGAACAUCAUAUGCAUGGAAUCACAUAAUAUGUGUCUUUGCAUACUGGCCUAUUUUACACAGCAUAUCUGAAGUUUUGUCCAUGUUUCAGAAUUUUUUUAAAGGCUAACAAUAUUCCAUUGUAUGGAAAGACCGUAUUUCUUCAACUCCUCUAUUGAUGGGCAUUUAGGUUUCCAUCUUUUGGCUGUUGUUAAUGGUGCUAUGAACAUACAUGCACAAAUAUCUGCUUAAUCCCCUGAUUUCAAUGAUUUUGUGUGUAUGCUUAGAAGUGAAAUUCUUGGACCAUAACAUAACUUAAUGUUUACUAUUCUGAGGAAUUGUCAUACUGUAUUCCAUUGUAUAUGUAAAUCACAUUUUCUUUAUACAUUUAUCUAGUGAUACCCAGGUUGUUUCUAUAUCUUGGUUAUUAUGAAUGAUGCUGCAAUGAAUAUUAAGAGUGAAGAUAUCUCUGUGAUAUA